rnacentral:rRNA from 1 species
UACAGAGGAGCCAAGCGUUGUCCGGAUUGACUGGGCGUAAAGCGCACGCAGGCGGUCGCGCGCGUGGGGUGUGAAAUCUGGCCGCUUAACGGCCAGGCGCCAUCCCAUACGGCACGACUGGAGUGAUGCAGAGGUCGGUGGAAUUGCCGGUGUAGUGGUGAAAUGCGUAGAGAUCGGCAGGAACACCCGUGGCGAAAGCGGCCACCUAGCCCGUUGCUGACGCUGAAGCGCGACAGCGUGGGGAGCGAACUGG